rnacentral:rRNA from 1 species
AUUGAACGCUAGCGGGAUGCUUUACACAUGCAAGUCGAACGGCAGCGCGGACUUCGGUCUGGCGGCGAGUGGCGAACGGGUGAGUAAUGUAUCGGAACGUGCCCAGUAGCGGGGGAUAACUACGCGAAAGCGUAGCUAAUACCGCAUACGCCCUACGGGGGAAAGCAGGGGACCGUAAGACCUUGCACUAUUGGAGCGGCCGAUAUCGGAUUAGCUAGUUGGUGAGGUAACGGCUCACCAAGGCGACGAUCCGUAGCUGGUUUGAGAGGACGACCAGCCACACUGGGACUGAGACACGGCCCAGACUCCUACGGGAGGCAGCAGUGGGGAAUUUUGGACAAUGGGGGCAACCCUGAUACAGCCAUCCCGCGUGUGCGAUGAAGGCCUUCGGGUUGUAAAGCACUUUUGGCAGGAAAGAAACGUCGCGGGCUAAUACCCCGUGGAACUGACGGUACCUGCAGAAUAAGCACCGGCUAACUACGUG